GCAGUUCUUGAAGAAGGAAAACAAGUAGCUUGGCUUAAGGUCUUACAUGACCUCUCACUGGGCAGUCAGGUUCUGAUGCAGCGAGGAAUUGAACAGCCCCUUGCUUCCUUGUUCCUCGUCUCUUUGUACCCUUGAAAAAAUUCAGUCAAGAUACACAGGCAACUAUACAGAAGUACAGGUAGAAUUUACUGAGUUUUUGAUACAGAGUUACACCUUAAAGGGAGAAGGCAGGCAGUGCCAGGAAGGACCUGCACCCAGUGCUCUUUGGGUCCAUUUUAUGCACAGCAGAGUUACUCUUGGGUGUCCGGGAGCAGGGGUUGUUAUGAUGAUUAUCAAUGUUGUAUUUAGAAGUUACGUUGGAAUUGCAAGGUGUCUUCCUGGACUUUUUAGAUGGUCAGUGUUUCCCCAGGGCUUUGAAUCAUGUAAAGAACUCACAAAAGAUAUGUUUUAAAUUUCAGCCAGGCCCCAGCCCAAGGCAGGAGGGUCUUUAAAAAAAUAUUUCCUUUCCUGGUAUCAUUGAGCUGUAGUUGUGGCAGCUGGGAAUGCAGUGUACCUUGUUGUGGAAUUAGACGGCCAGGUGGCCAAGUGUAAGAAGGAAUGUGUACAAUGUCAUUAAGAUGUCAUUGUGCUCUUGGGUCACCUUGGGUCUGAGACCUAACAGAUGAUUAUAAAUCUGUUAUGCACUGAUGUCUCUGUUCUUUAACUGGCAAUGAAUGCUAUUUUGGAUCUCACCCUAUUUGUCCUUUGAACCUGCUAAUGUCCAACUACCUGCCUAACAUAACUCCCAGUGCAUUUGAUUGAAAGCUGUAUCAAUUUCUGUAUACCAUCCCCACAUUUCUUGUCAUUAUUACUAACUAACAAAAAGACUGUGUUUUGUCCAUUGAUUUUCCAGUGAGUAAUGAAAUAGCCUAAGGUAGACAACAGGGUGGAAAACAAUAAUUUUAUUAAUCAGUCUCUCCUGAAUAUUCAAGAUGUUAUAGCAUCUGUGAUACAUCUGAAUAGGAUCUUUUUCAUUAAAACAAGACUUAAUUUUAUCUAACAAAGAGAGUGUACAUUCUGAUUGGCUUUGGGGUCAGUGUCUUUAAAGGACAUUAAUUACUCUCUCCACUGUCCUCUGUAACUACUUAUUGCCAAAAUUUUCAACCAAUCUGAAAUAGAAAAUGAAACAAUUGCCUUCUCAAAUUCUUAUAGGGACAGUGCAGCAUUGUUAUUUUUUAGUCCUCUUUCCUCUCUGCGUAUAUUAGACUGUAGGCUUCCCCAAGACUGUCUUUCAUUUCUCCUUAUACUCAAAUGAGACUUAGUUCUAGCUGCUGGUUUCAGUUAGAUCCUUACAUCCUGACUGCCAAGUUUUUACAGCCCUAGUCCUAAUGCCUUACUCGAGCGCUAAACCCAGCAUUCUCUCUCUUUUGUAUAGUAUAUGUGUUUGCAAUACAUAAUAAAUAUAUUCAUAGUUGGGCAUUGGUAUAUAUACCUACUGCAUCUUGUCUCCAUCUCUCUCUUUUUUUUUUUUUUGUACCAGGGAUCAAACUUGGGAUCUUGCACUUGAAGGCAGGUGCCGGAACCACUGAGCUAAAUCCCUGGCCCUCCAUCUCUUUUUUAAAGCCCUGGACUCUUACCCUUAUGAUCUUGUUGCUCUGUCCUUCUUAAUCACCUCCUCUUGACUCCUUUUCUUCAGUGGUGCCUCUCAGAUUUCCCUCUUUACAGGACUCACUUCACUCAAGUCUCACCAUCUGCCGAUAGCACCUGACCUUGCCAUCUUAGGCAGCCCAGAUCCCUGCAGUGGCUCCUGACUAGUGUUCCUGCCUCUGUUGCUCUCUGCCCUUAGCCUGUUCACCACACAAGCCACAGUGAUGUCUUCAAAACAUGGUCUGGCUAUGCCAAUCCCUUCCUCAGAACCAAAGGAGAAACACACAUGUCCAACCUCCUUUCUUGAGGUUGCCACCUUUUCACUUAAAAGAAACAGUUUAUAGCUUCUCUUCAACCUAAGUGAAUUGCCAGCGUCACUACUCUUGUGCUUUGGGUCCAUUAUUAAGUAGAAAAGGGUUACAUGAGCAUCAGCUGCUGUGACACUCAAGCCUCUAACAAGACCGCUGCCAAGUGACCGAUGAGCAGGCAGCAUGUGCAGUGUGGAUCUGCUGGACAGAGGGGUGAUUCCUGACCUGAACGUCAUUGUUUAAACAACACUCAACUUCAUGAACCUGAGAAGUUUUGACCAUUUCAAGACUUAAUGCCACACCUCCACUCCAGCAUAUUUGUGCUACGACUGGUAACAAUGACCAGAGCCUGAAGAGUUAAAAUGCCAACAUCAAACCUUACCUUAACAGCUCUGGUCUACACUGUUUCCGCACAUUUUAAAUAUGUUACUUUGUUUUAUAACCACUUCUAAAUAUUCUUGGUUCUUUCUUUUUUCCCCCCAAGUAAGGGGUUUUGUCUUUAUUUUUUAUUUACUUUGUGUACAACUACUUGCUUUUUAUGACUCAUUUGCUCAUCUGACAGUGAACAAAGCCAGCCUGGGCUGGUAAGGUGCUGUUCACUUGAACAGGUGCUGUUGUGUGGAAAGGAAACUCUGACUAAUUUAGAUAGUGGUUUUCCUUCUUUCAGAUUCUUUCCUUUGAAUUCUUACAGUAAAUAUUUGCAGAGUUUUCAGAUUGCAGUAAAUAUACUCUCUGAGAAAUAUUAAUACCAAUUAAAAGUAUUUCUUACAUCUUGAAAAUUUUCUAAUGUUUGAGAAUUUCACCGAUAUGUUUUUUAUUUUGAACCCUUUUGACUUUCCAGUCCUGUGACUUUUUAGAAAGUCAGAGACUCUCCAGACUGGAGAAUUACCAAUUCACUGACCAUGCACUGUGUUCAGAGACCUGUGGCACCAUAGUCCCAGUGCUUCUCAAACACAUGCUCUUCGACAGCAUUCCAGAGCAGGAGGGAGGAGAGAGGGCAGUUUCUUCCCUUCUACUAAAAGAGCCAGGCAGCUUACAACCUUAGUGCUUGCUUUCUUAACGUUUCCAAAUUCCAGUUCUUUCCAUUAUCUGAACACAUGGAUAGUCCCCUUGCUUUUUAUUAAAUCUCCUUGUCUGUGUGUGAAACUGACCUUUUCUUACUGAGCAGGUGUAUCUCCCAGAUAACUCAAUGGCUCGCCCAGGUUUGAGGCUGCUGUAGAGAGGGAGAGGAGCAGGGCCUCAGUGGUUGUUCAGUUGGUUGUAAGAAAGCUAAACCGUUUAAAGCUGACACCAGAGACCUGAUAGGGACUUAUUCACUAUAUUGAACAUUUUCCUCUUGCUUAUAAUUAUUAGAUUUAUAGCAGCUUCAAGUUGUAUUAAAUGAUAUUUUGCUUUCUGUAAUACUGUUAUAAAAUAAAGUUUGUUUAUUCUCUGAAUU
ensembl:lncRNA